AUCUUAUUAGCUUAAAGGUAAAGCAUAAUAUUUCUAAUAUUAUGAUCUAAGUUCAAGUCUUAGGUAGGAAU
rnacentral:tRNA from 1 species